rnacentral:rRNA from 1 species
UACGGAGGGUGCAAGCGUUAAUCGGAAUUACUGGGCGUAAAGCGCACGCAGGCGGUCUGUCAAGUCGGAUGUGAAAUCCCCGGGCUCAACCUGGGAACUGCAUUCGAAACUGGCAGGCUAGAGUCUUGUAGAGGGGGGUAGAAUUCCAGGUGUAGCGGUGAAAUGCGUAGAGAUCUGGAGGAAUACCGGUGGCGAAGGCGGCCCCCUGGACCAAGACUGACGCUCAGGUGCGAAAGCGUGGGGAGCAAACAGGAUUAGAUACCCUGGUAGUCCACGCCGUAAAAGAUGUCGAUUUGGAGGUUGUGGCCUUGAGGCGUGGCUUCCGGAGCGAACGCGUUAAAUCGACCGCCUGGGGAGUACGGCCGCAAGGUUAAA